UACGUAGGGCGCAAGCGUUAUCCGGAAUUAUUGGGCGUAAAGCGCUCGCAGGUGGUUCGAUGCGUCGUGCGUGAAAGACCCCGGCUCAACUGGGGGGUGUCGUGCGAUACGGUCGGACUGGAGGCCAGUAGGGGGAUGCGGAAUUCCGGGUGUAGUGGUGGAAUGCGUAGAGAUCCGGAGGAACACCAGCGGCGAAGGCGGCAUCCUGGACUGGUCCUGACACUCAUGAGCGAAAGCGUGGGGAGCGAUCCGG
rnacentral:rRNA from 1 species